UUUCCGUAGGUGAACCUGCGGAAGGAUCAUUACCUAGAGUUUGUGGACUUCGGUCUGCUACCUCUUACCCAUGUCUUUUGAGUACCUUCGUUUCCUCGGCGGGUCCGCCCGCCGAUUGGACAACAUUCAAACCCUUUGCAGUUGCAAUCAGCGUCUGAAAAAACAUAAUAGUUACAACUUUCAACAACGGAUCUCUUGGUUCUG
rnacentral:misc_RNA from 1 species